UCACUCUGGUUUCUCUGCAAUACGCAUAAAUCUUUCGCCUUUUACUAAAGAUUUCCGUGCAGAGGAACACAUUGACGAGUCUAUAAAUAUUUUCUCAGGCUCGCUUUCAUUAGCGAGC